rnacentral:rRNA from 1 species
UACGUAGGGGGCAAGCGUUGGUCCGGAAUCAUUGGGCGUAAAGAGCGUGUAGGCGGCUUGGCAAGUCUCGCGUGAAAUCCUGCGGCUCAACCGCAGGCGGUCGCGGGAAACUGCCUCGCUAGAGUCCGGAAGAGGAGAGUGGAAUUCCUGGUGUAGCGGUGGAAUGCGCAGAUAUCAGGAAGAACACCCGUGGCGAAGGCGGCUCUCUGGGACGGUACUGACGCUGAGACGCGAAAGCGUGGGGAGCGAACAGG